GAGCAAACAAAAGUAACUUUCAACGACCGAAUGAUCAUUCAGACUCUGUUUCUAUUGAGAGAUAAAAGGGGUCAGUUCUCUAAAAUGAGUCUCUCUGGGGAGAGACAGGAGGGGUACCCUGUCUCUAAAAUAAGUCUCUCUGGGGAACAUGACACCAAAUCUAAGAGUCCAAUCAAGCAGGAGAGACCAGCCUCCCGUGUUCCCAGCUGUGUGUCCAUGAAGAGUGACCGGUCUAUGCUUGAACCUAUAUCCUUU